GACGAACGCUGGCGGCGUGCUUAACACAUGCAAGUCGAACGGAAAGGCCCUGCUUUUGUGGGGUGCUCGAGUGGCGCACGGGGGAGAAUCACGCGAGUAACCUGCCCCUGACUUUGGGAUAACUUCAGGGAACUCGGGUGAAUAUAGGACAGGAGCUCCUGAUGCAUGGUGUGGGUUGGUGAGUUUCGGCGGUUGGGGAUGGACUCGCGGCUUAUCAGCUUGUUGGUGGGGUGGUGGCUUACCAAGGCGUUGAUGGGUAGCCGGCCUGAGAGGGUGACAGGCCACAUUGGGACUGAGAUACGGCCCAGACUCCUACGGGAGGCAGAAGUGGGGAAUAUUGCACAAUGGGCGGAAGGCUGAUGCAGCAACGCCGCGUGCGGGAUGACGGCCUGCGGGUUGUAAACCGCUUGCGCCUGGGACGAAGCGUGAGUGACGGUAAUGGGUAAAGAAGCACCGGCUAACUACGUG
rnacentral:rRNA from 1 species